rnacentral:lncRNA from 1 species
UGGUGACGUUGGGAUUUGAUGCUAGAAUACCUUAUCAACAUGGUAAACUUAGAUUUGCAAAUGGUUCUUAUUGUGGCCAAAAUUCAAGCCAGUGAGAUCGGACUUUGUCUCUCAGAAAAAAAGAUGCAGCAAAAGGAUCUUUAACUAAAGAUGAGAUGGAGGAGUCUUCGACUGGAUAUAAAGUGGAGUCCUCAGCUAAAGAUGAGGUGGAAGGGUCUUUAGUUAGAUAUGAGAUGGAGCCUUUGGCUGGGGAUGAGGUGGAGGUAUCCUCAGC